AGAGAUCACCGCCUGCACACUGCUGAGUGUGGUUAUUGACGGCAAACCUUAUAAUAUUAUUAUCAAGAAAAAUCCCGGUGAUCCAACCCCAGUAUUCACUAUAACUGAAGCUGAAUAACGAUUACUAUCGCCGAAGAGGAACCUAGGGUCGAGACUUAGAUACGAGUAUAGAAUCAUCCAACGGAACAAUGUCACCGGAGAAGCAAGUCGCAUCUACUCCGACCAACUGAUACUUAAUCAUCGUAGUCGCUUUAUAUGCAAUGUGCAAGACAUAAGGGACUGGACCUCUCCUGGCAAUGUGAUUGCUUUAAAGAUAUACAUAGGGCGACAACAUAUCCGAGAAUACCGAGAUGAACCACCAACUCGCGACAUUGAGGAAUAAGGUUAUCGCUAAGAAAGUGAUGCUUAAAAAAAUGUUAAGUGAUAAGAUUUAUGAAAAAUUAUACAAAAUAAUCAUGAAAGCAUAUUUUUCAUAUAAAAAAAAACACAAUUCACAUUAAAUUACAUCUAUUAUUUCCAAAUGUUAAAAUCAAUUACAAUCAAACAUAUUUCAAAAAUAACUGGUGAUUUAACUUCUUUAAAAAAUGACAAACAUGAGUUAAAUAUUUUUUCAGAUCCAGUCGAAAAACCUUUUGGAAAUCCAAAAGAAUAGGAAUCAAUAAUGAUUCCAAUUUAAAGCAAUCAAAUCAAAUUGAUUUACUGUAGUGUUUAUAAAGUAGUCAUAAUGAAAUGUAUGAGUGAUCAUCAUAGAGAAUGAGUUAUCAAUAAUAAUUCAAUAUUAUUUUGAAAUAUAUGUUCCAUAUAUACGUCCCAUAUAUGCUUCAAGCUCGGAAUAUAAAAACUCCGAAAUAAGUAUCUUACCAGGGACACCACAAAUGGUGGGCGCGAUCUAGUGGCGAGCAUCGAACUACUCCAGCUGCUGCUGCCUAACACCAUAACUUUUAAAUCAAUAAUCAUUAGGUUCAAAUAUAUAUUUAUUAACCUCGAACAAAUAUAUAUAUUUAUUAUAAAUAAAUAUAUUUUUUUGUGUCUAAUUAAUAUUUAUUAGAGUUAAUAUAAUAAUAUUUUGCUCUAAUAUUUGGAUUUGUUGGCACUGCAAAAUAGUUUGGUUGUCCAUUAAAUAAAUAUUCUCUUAACCGUUUUCAAGACGGGUGGGGUGAUCAGAAUCUUUGAAAAAAAAAAUAUAUUUAUUUGGAUUGUAAAUUUUGAAAAUAAAAAAGUUUAAACAAAUGACUGACAUUUAAAUUUUUAUAACCAAGUUAUCAAUUCGCGGUUAAUAUGAGUGAUGAGUCUGAGGAUUGGGACGCGACGUUUCUGUCGGAGUACAAAUUGAAUUUUAUUAAGAGGACACAGAAAAAAGUUCAAAAAUUUAUUCCUUAUGAUUGUUACGCGGUAACGAACGAUGAGAAACAAAUCGAUCCCCAGGUGGCUGCUCAAUGGAAACUGAGUGACGAGGAAUCGAAAGCGUUGAUUGACAAAAUUAUUUUAGAAAGACUCAAAUCUACUUACGAAACUGCUUACCAACAUCCAGGAGUUAGCGAAGGUACUGAGUCAGAAAAUUUGAAAUCUUAUAGGACAGGGGAAUUCGAUAGCGAAUAUAAAAAAUAUUUAAAUGAUUUAUAUUUAAAACCGAGUGAGGGAACAACUUUGGCAGCCCCUUCGACAGCUAAAAGAGUUUACGGGAACUUGCGGCCAAGAUUUUUGCGUCGAGUUCUAUCAGUUUAUCAAGACACUUUUGGACGUACUGCCGCCGAAAUAAUAUUUAAAAAAAAAUAAUGUUACUGGAAAUAGAAGACGAAACACGGGAUUUUCUGACGACUUACAGUAAAGACUAUCGGGAAAAAAAAAUAUCUAAGAGAAAAAAAAUAAUUCCAGCGAGGGAUAAUGAACACUAUCUAGAGUAUCCCGAAGAGAUAUUAGACACACCAAGUACUAUUGAGCAAGUCAAAAUACCUGUAAAAACAAUUUAUCAGUACGAUUUCUGUUCGUUGUAUCCGCAAAUUAAAAAUAAUGAUAAAUUAUUUUUGCCAAAUGAUUGGAUUGUUCCAGAAACGGUUUACAAAAAUUCAUACCGUGACUUAAAUCACUUACAAGGCUUUGGUUGGACUCCCAAGCGUCCAAUUAUCGAAAAACCCAAAAGUCAUUUGGGCCCAAAUUUAAAACAAAGAGAAAUUCUUAAAGUGACUACUGGCGACUCAGAAUACGCAGCAGUUAUCAGUGAAACUGGGAAAAAAUUAUUCAAAUAAAUUCCAAUAUUUGAUUUAAAAAUUUUUAAACAUCCGUCUCUUUAUCUUAAGAAUUAAUUUGAUUAUCAAUGAAACUUUAAUCAUUACAAAAAAAAUAACAAAUUUGAACUUGAAUUAAAAUUUUACUUGUACAUUACGAUAGAUAAGAAA